UGUAAUAAUUCAAACAUGCAUUUUCUUCUUCUUCUGUCUUGCUCUUCUUCUUCUACUGAGUCGUUGUUAUUGUUGAACGAAUUUGAGUGCUGAAAGUUUGAGAUACUGAUCAAAUCAAGGAGAUAGAGUGGUUCAGUUUAGGUUCUGAGAGGUUGAUGAUGAUGAUCAGUGAAGGUGAGUCUCAUUUGAAUGAUGAAGAUGAGUGUGUUGAGAAAGAGAAAAUGAUGGAGAUUUUUGUGAGUUUUGGAUGAAUGAUUCAGAGUCUGUAGCUUGAGAGUGAUGAAUGAUCUAGAGUUGAGUUGAAAAUGAUUGGAGAGAGGUUAUAUAGGUAGCUAGGUGAAUUGGGAUUUGUGAGAAUUCAGUUAGAGUUUGUUAUGAAAUGUUAUAAAAUCGAGGAAAAGUUAGGUAGGGUUGAAUUCUAUGACUACAGUUUGUUAGGUUAGUUGGUGAGUGAUAGGUUAGCUAGUUCAGUUAGGUUAUUAUAGGUAUUCUGUUAGGUUAGUUUUCUUAGUUAGUUUUAGGGAAUUGUUAUGUUUAAUGUGGACAUAUGACUUAGUUAAAUGCAUAGUUCAGCUUGUUGCAGGAUUGUGAUGCAGAAUUGAUUAACUGCUGUAGAAGCUUGGUCAGGUUCAUAACUGAGUUUGCAUAUAUUGGUGCUUUGGCUCACAGUUGCAGCUUGUUGUUUCCUUUUGUUUCAUUGCAGCUUCAUUGAGUAUGAUGCAGGAAGCUUUGUUGACUUGUGUUCAAGGUAUACAUUGCAGGAUUGUUUGGUUUCACGGCAGUGCAAUUUUGUGUGUGUUGGGUGACUUUGGAUUGCUGCAAGGUUAUGUAUCAUGUUUCUACAGGUCUGGUGCAAGCAUGAUGCAAGGUUUGUGAGGUUGAAUUGGUUUGAUUGCAGGUAUGUCACUUUAUGUUACAUCUGGUAUGGCUGCAAUGCAGCAGGAUUUACUGCAAGGUGGUGUGUUGGUAGCAUGACAUCGGUUAUGGUUCAUUGCAUUACUAUGAUUCUGAAUUGAAUGCAGAUUUGAACUUGGCUCAUGUUUGAUGCGUGAUGAUUGUACUCGAAGUUUCGUGCAGGAUUGGAGCAUGUAGUUUGGACUCAUGGUGCCUCAUACUUGUGUCUGAUUGGCUGCUAGCUGCUUAGCUUUGUUCUUACUUUAUGUUGUACUGCAGGUGUGUUUGGCCUUGCUAUGCAUUGCCUAUAUUUGGAAUGUUUAUUGCAAGUUGGAGUAAGUCUUUGAUUGCAGACUGGUUCAGGGCUUGUGGUUUGGCUGCAUUGCAGUAGGGUUUUGGGCAUGGCAUUAUGCAGGAUGUUUGCUGCAUUGGUAUGGUUUUGCAGGACUGUUGUUACGGGGCUGUGGAGAUAUUAGGUUUGGAAUGUUGAUCACAUGCCACAUAUGGAAUCAAUUUGCUAGCUUGGAAUAUGCCAUGUACUUAGUGUAAUGUUCUGUAAUUGGGAUUGUUUGAAAUUCACUUAUGUAUCAAUGGUUGAAAAGGGUAAUUUUGAAGUUGAAAACAUUGCAUUUGGGAAUGGAAAAUGUAUGGUGUGAAUUGGAUUGAAGAUAUGAUUGGAAUUUUGAUUGUAUGAAAAAUAUUUGUACAUGGAAUGGCAUGGUUUAUGGAAUUGAUUAUGUGAUGUGAAAAUGUGAUUGUAUUGGUUUAACAUGGCCUAAAAAGGCUUAAAAUGAACAUGGUUAAAAGGUUUAUAAUGAACAUGGUUAAAACAAACAUGAGAUUAUGGUUUCAAUAUGAAUCAUAGUGAACCUAGGAUGGAUUAUGGAAGAAUGGGAAGAGGGAUUAGGGUUUGAGAUGUAAAAUGGGUGAGUUGACUUUGGUCAAAGUUGACCAAAAAGUCAAUUGUUGACCAAAGUCAUCAUUUGGUCAAAGUACCAUUUUUUGUAAUUUUUCAAAUGUAUGAACAUUCUUAUGAUUUGUAUGAAUGUAAAUUGGUGUUUUGGAUGAA
rnacentral:lncRNA from 1 species